GUCUUUUUAAAGUUUCCCAGGAGGAUAUGCCAAAUUACAUUAUCUUCUUCCCUCCAAGAGGCAGCCUCUAUCCUGAUUUUUUGUUUUCUCUUAUAAUGGUGACACUAAUGGUAAAGAAUCCUCCCUGCAAUGCAGGAGGCUCAAGGGAUGCAGUUUCUGUCCCUGGGUGGAGAAGAUCCUCUGGAGUAGGAAGUGACAACCCACUCCAAUAUUCUUGCUUGGAAAAUUCCAUAGACAGAGGAACCUGACAGACUACAGUCCAUGGGGCCACAAAGAGUCAGACAUGACUGACUGAGCAUUACAUAUCACUAUAACUUCAGAAAUAUGUAUUUUUGAAACAUUUAAAUUGAAGGAUAAUUUCUUUGAUUUUCUCUUACUAAUAUAUGUUUCUGAAAGCAUAUAUUUUAUCAUUGGCCAAAAUCACUGUCUUCAAUCUUAAUGUGGGGGAUGUUUCUGGAACAUAAAUUAUGCCAUAGAAUUGUCCACAUUUGAAGCCAGUGUUCCUGGCUUUUGUGCUCUGGUAUUUGUGAUUUGGUGCUCAGGGAAAUUUUUCAGGAAUCUCCCAGGCAGGCUGUUCUUGUCAACUCAGGGAGACUUCUGCAUACAAGGCACUCAGAGCUGCUUUUAAUAGGUGUACUCACUAGUAUUCUUGCCUGGAAAAUCACAUGGAUGGAGGAGCCUGGCUGGCUACAGUCCAUGGGGUUGCAAAGAGUUGGACACGACUGAGUGACUUCACUUUCACUUUUUCAUUUUCACCAGUAAAGAGGAUCCUGCUAGAUAUCAUCAGCAAAGUCAACCAUACAAGAGUCCAAAUGACAUUGGCAUCAGAGUAGAAGGUUAUUUCUUGCUCUAGAAAAGUCUAAGUUUUGGAGACAAAUGCUGGACCCUCUUCCCCAGUUGCUCAUGGAAGACAGACUGAUUCACACACAAACUAUUUGGUGAGACCUGGUACCAUGCCUCAUCUUGAUGCAAGAAAAGCUUCCAAGGAGAUCAAACCAGUCAGUCCUAAAGGAGAUCGGUCCUGAAUAUUCACUGGAAGGACUGAUGCUGAAGUUCCAAUGUUUGCCCACCUGAUUCGAAGAACCGACUCAUUGGAAAAGACCCUAAUGCUGGGAAAUAUUGAAGGCAGGAGAAAGGGACAACAGAGGAUCACACGGUUGGAUGGCAUCACUGACUCGAUGGGCAUGAGUUUGAGAGAGCCCCAGGAACUGGUGAUGGACAAGAAAGCCUGGCGUGCUGCAGCCCGUUGGGUUGCAGAGUCAGACACGACUGAGGGACUAAACUGAACUGAACUAGCUUCCAAGUAUAGAUAGCAGCCAUAUGAUAUGAAUGACUGAAUGUCUAAUAACUGAUAGUAUCUUGCCAAAUAAUCAAUGAUGUGAAAGUGGCAUAAUGCAGUGAACAAGUAUCAGACUGAAAGCAAGCAAGGAGACUGUAUGAAGUGCUGUCUCCCGGAUGACAAGCUGUAUGAUGUGCCGUGACUCAGUAUUACAGAUGUAAGUCUAUUCAUCUGGAAAGCGGAGUUGUGGCAUGUACUAAGUUGUACACACCUCAAAAAUCAAAUAUUAAUGUUUUUUUUUUCAUUUUCCAUUUUCUUAUCUGAUUUCACUCAAUUUAAGAUGUAUUAUUUUUAGCAUUUGAUCAUUGUCAUCAUAAAAGAUAAUGGAUAUUCCUAAGGAUGUAUUCCUGGAAACUUUAGUUCUUUCAUUAGCAUGCCCAUUUCCAUAUUUCCUGAAACGAAUUUUUCUGAGCAAGUGUUUGCCCUCCCUAGUCAGAUGCAGGUAUUUCGUCUGUUAUUCCUACAUGCUAAAACCUAUUAAUCUGUUCUGAAAUUUUGAGUUUAUUUUGCCAUAAAUCACUUGUGAUUCUUUUGUAUAUAUGACUAGUUUUUUUUUUAAUCUUUUUUUUUUGUAUUGGGGUAUAGCCUAUUAACAGUGUUAAUGUUUGUUAUAAUAAUAGUUUCAGGUGUACAGGAAAGGGACUCAGUCAUGCAUAUACAUGUAUCCAUUCUUCCCCAAACUCCCUCCUAUUCAUGCUGUCACAUAACAUUGAACAGAGUUCCCUGUGCUGUACAGUAGGUCCUUGUUAGUUAUCCAUUUUAAAUAUAGCAGUGUGUACUUUUUAGAUUAGGCCAGGAAGUUAUUAAUCACUUGUUGCCAUCUGUGACACCCAAUGUCAAGUGUAACUCCUUGAAGUAAUAAGUAAUGCUUACUAAUGUUCCAAAUUCAACGUCUUGACUGCAUUACAAGAGCAAUCAACUAAACUUUAUGUACCAAUUGGAGAAUUCCAUAUAAAUUUUCUCAGAACUUCCUAAUUCCAAAAAGACUUUCCCAAAACCUUCCAUGAUAUUCACGGGAAGUGUGUAAAAAUGUAAGGAGUAUGUGAACAAACAGGAACAUGAAAAAUAUUGACAAAUUUUUCCAUGAUAACAUUCAACAGAGCCAUUUAAUAAAAUGCAAUACAUAAAUUUUAAUAAGGAGAGAGCUGAACACAUUCUUCCCUUGAAUUUACCUUGAUUGCACUAAUGAAAGGCUUACUGUUUCUCAACUGGGAGUAUGCUGCUCUUGUUUUCAGCACAGAUGUUUCCUUCUACAGGAAGUCAAAUCCAGUUUUUCACACUUACACAAAAAUUUUUACAGUUUUUAGCUAGGCAUCAGCUAGCUGUUGGAUAAAUGAUUUCAUGUUCUGUGUUUACAUGUGUACUUCACAACUGAAUUUCAUUCUCAAGUCUGGGAAAACAUUAAUAACUCAGACUGUAUCUUAGGUAUUUUAGAUUUAGUCCUAGGUGAAUAUCACUAAUAUAUGUGCCAGUGCCUGAUUCAUAGGUCUCAUACCUAAACAUAUUAUGUUUUAUGCCUUGGAUAUUUUGAUAUAUAUUUAUUUGUUUUCCACAUCUAAUUAAUUGAAUAUUUCUGAAUAGUAUCACUGUGAUGAUAGAAAGUAGCCAUAAGUCUACUGGCUCCUGUUAAAGAAUGCUAAAUUCCAUGACAUUGUAAUUGUGGGGUUUCAGUUUUGACAGAACUCAACACUGGCUCCCAGUACUGGAAGGCAGCCAAAUUCUUUAACUGUUUUAAAUGGGGCAGAAUGCACUAUCCUGAGACAGUAAAUAGUGUAUGUGAGAGUGAAAGUUGCGCAGUCAUGUCUGACUCUGUGACACCAUGGGCUGUAACUCACCAAGAUCCUCUGUCCCUGGAAUUCUCCAGGCAAGAAUCCUGAGGUGGGUAGUCAUUCUCUUCUUGAGAGGCUCUUCCCGACCCAGGGAUUGAACCCAGGUCUCCUGCACUGCAGGUGGAUUCUUUAUUGUCUGAGCCACCAGGGAAGCCCAAGACAGUAAAUAAUCUUGUCCCAAAAUUUAUUUGUAAAUAUUACUGGUUAGAUAGGACAUUUGAAGCAGUCAGCAUUCAGAAAAAUAAGUUAAGUGCUAAAUGACAUAGGAAGAUGAUGUCGCCUAAUCCUCAUUAAAUUUGAUGAGUUAGGUAUUAAUACUUACAUAAAAAAUAUUCCAAUAUCUUGCAUCUUUUUUCUUGGCAAAGGUGAGAUUUAAGACUUGGAAUUCUGACUUAGUGGAAGGCUAUGAUUACAUGUGUUCAAUAUUUCCCUUGCAUACAUGCUAAGUCAAUUCAUUCGUGUCUGACCCUUUGAGAUCCCAUAGGCUGUACCUACCAGGCUCCUCUAGCAAUGGGAUUUUCCAGGCAAGAAUAUUGGAGUGAGUUGCCAUUUCCUUCCCCAGGGUAUCUUCCUGAACUAGGGAUUGAACCUAUGUCUCUUACAUCUCUGUCUCCUGAAAAAGCAAAAUAACAAAUGCUUGCUAACAAAAUGUG
ensembl:lncRNA